AUAGGAUUGGAUCGCAUUCUGGGGCCCAAGAUAUACCUCAUUGUCAAGCCUUGCCAUCCACACAAUGCCAUAUACAUGAAAGCAAAUAUCCACAGGUCCGAUCGGCCGAAAUAAUGUAGAAUCUGAACUCCUAUAGUUGUGGCCAGUGAUUAAGGGAUCAUAGGAAAAAAAUAAAAAAAAUCCAGGAAUGGAUGGCUGGAGAGGGAGCCAGGCUGGGGCUGAUAGAGAUGGAGAAAUCUCCUCCUUAUCCUUGAGCUUGGAUGGAACUCAUGUUGCAUGGGCCAUUACUAUGGCUUUAAUUUGAAUGGAAAGGCAAGGCUU
rnacentral:lncRNA from 1 species